GACGAACCGUCCAAACGUUACUCGGAAUUACUGGGCUUAAAGGGUGCGUAGGCUGCGCGGAAAGUUGGGUGUGAAAUCCCUCGGCUCAACCGGGGAAUUGCAUCCAAAACUGCCGUGCUCGAGGGAGACAGAGGUAAGCGGAACUCAAGGUGGAGCGGUGAAAUGCGUUGAUAUCUUGAGGAACACCGGUGGCGAAAGCGGCUUACUGGGUCUCUUCUGACGCUGAGGCACGAAAGCUAAGGUAGCAAACGGG
rnacentral:rRNA from 1 species